UCUCUCUCAGCAGGAAAUUGUCUGAACAAGAAGUUACCAAAAACAGUUCAGCAGCCUUUUGUUGCAACAUUUUUACAGGAAGAUACGGUAUAUCACAGCAUGAUGAAUUCUUUUGCCUUGCAGCUGCAUUUAUCUCUCAGUCAGCUCAUCAGACAGCUUUCAAAAGAGCACACAGAAAGAAGCCAAGCUGUCUCUAGGUGAAGCCGAGGAUCACAGCACCAUGUUCAGUGCUUCUCCUGGAGACACUGGACAGCUGAACAUAGUUUUGAAAGGCCUGAAGGCAGUUGACCACAGGGACUGAGUCAAGGCAGCUUUGCAGGAGAGAGGACAAUGGCAUUCUGCAAGGCACACAGGACAGAUGCCUGUUUUAGAGAGAUGGUUUGCUGUCUCCAGGGAUCCUCAUCGUGGAUACAAGACAACAUGGAGCACUGCAGCAAGCACAGUCACAGAAAUAGAGCUUAACUUGGAAACUG